GUUUGGUAGUAUAGGUUGUACCAUACUUUUAAUUUUUUUUUUAAGUUUUAAAUUAAUAUUUUUAAUAUUUUUUUAUUGAUUUUUACCUAAACCCACAUUUUGAUGUUUUGGAGGCAAGCCCAAACGAUAUCAGAGGCCUACAAGAAACAGAAGCUCUUUCUUACACGCAUAGGUCCAAUCCAAUGAGUGUUGCCAAGAAAGAAACGGAGGCUAUGGUUAGACUGAUACUGAGUUGUAUCGAGCUCUUUUCUGUCAGUACACUUCGCAGAUCAGUGGAGCUAUGAUUUUGCUGGCAAUGUACAAAAAGAGGGAGUGGCGCACAACCCUCCUAUUGUCUGCUUGCAUCAAAUUUGGAGCUAAUGAAGCACUUUGCAAAUUCAUCAAGAGAACAUAGAUUAUACACGCUAACAAAUGAAACAAGCAAUGAUGGGCUGCUGCUGCUGCAGACUAUAAAAAAACACAGAUAGUGGUGUAGCUAUGAUCUCUUAAGCAUUGUUGAUGGCUCCACCCCCCGUCCUCCUCAGUUUAUUGUUGAUGAUACUGGGAAGACUACGUCUGAUCUCAGCCAUGCCUAUCUGUUAUGGCAGAAAAAAGGAUCAAUUUAUCCUCAGUAUGGACAAAUGCCACAUUAUCUGAGAAAGUUUUGUCCACUAUUUAUGGACUAACUUCUUCUCGCCAAUUAUGGACCGCCUUGGCUAAUCGCUUUGCACCUCCCUCUCCCUCCCGCAUCUCCCAUCUCAAAAGACUCUUCUACAGACCUCGACAGCCCUGCCAAAUUUAUGGCAAAACAAAUCACCAAGCACUCGACUGCUAUAACAGGAUGCAUUUUUCUUACCAAGGGCGUCAUCCUCCAUCUCAACUUGCAGCAUUAACAGCCCAAUCAAAUGUCCACAUCACAGAUGAUCUUGACCACUUAUCUCUGUAACAACAGCCAUAUCAAGGAUCUGCAAACACAGGAGACACUCCUCCAAGGUUCGAGUGAAGCAGGCUGUAUCCCAUCCAUCUGCAACAUCUUCGGUCCACUAAGGCAUCCCCGACGCCUAAUCAACAUCUUCCUCCCCUUUUCACCGUACUACUAGGAGUCAAGGCACCAAUCCAAGUUUGGCACUCAAGAUUAGGCCAUCCCUUUGAGUCUGUCCUUCAACAACUUGUUCUUCAGUCUGUCUUGCUUAUGGUUCGUCUAGACUUCAUAAACUCUGUGAAUCUUGUCAAAUGGCCAAGAGUCACAAAAUCCACAACUGGAUAUGCCAUCUAUCUUGGACCCUGCCUCAUUUCAUAGGAAGCUAAGAAGCAACCUGUCGUGGCCAAGUCGAGUGCUGAGGCUGGAUACCACUCUAUGACACUCACUGUAGCUGAACUUUAGGUUCCACUCACCUCAGCUCCUUGUCUCUGGGUUGAAAACAUUGGAGCUCUAGCUUUAUCCUUAAAUCCUGUGUUUGUUUCAUGCUAGGACAAAAUACAUCGAAGUCGAUUAUCACUUCAUACGUGAGAAGAUUCUGAACAAAGAUUUACAAGCUCAUUAUAUUUCAACUUAUGAUCAACCAUCAGACAUCUUCACCAAGGGCCUUUCUUCUUCACGAUUCUUCCUACAUCGAGACAAGUUGAUGCUUCGAUCUCUCCCCAUCAACUCUCGGGGGGGUGUUAGACAAGAUAUAUACAAGCCCUAGGAAAAAUAGAAAUUAUAGGAAUGACAUAUUACUUUUCUUAUCCAGUUGUUUGUUCAAUAUCUGAUAACUAGUUUGUUCAAUCUGAUAACUAGAAUCUUUGUAUUUUACAGCUCUUAUCUUAUCUGUAAAUACAAACAUGUAAAUAUCCUUAUAAAUACAUGAAUAUUCCUUGCUGGAGUACUGAACCAGCCUUCAUAAUUCC